rnacentral:tRNA from 1 species
GCCGGCGUGGUGAAAUUGGUAUACACGGUAGACUCAAAAUCUACUGGCAGUGAUGUCGUAUGGGUUCAAGUCCCAUCGCCGGUA